rnacentral:lncRNA from 1 species
AUGUAGUGAAUAAUGAAUUUGAUGUUCCGAUAAACAAAUUGUUUAAUCGUUCUGCAUAAACUCUUUUAUUUGAAACUAGCCAACAAAACAAACAUUUUAACUAAAUAUUCUAAGUUCGUAUUUCAAUAAGACUUCUUUUAGAGCUUGGGGGCUACAGGAUUUGGCUAAACGUCAAUGUCUAUAACCACAUUAUAAAAUAACUUGUACUGCUUUUGCAAGCUAGCUCGAAUAAUUUCACCGAAAAAUGUGUAAAUGUCUAACUGUGGCAUGGAAGUGAAAAUCAAUAAUUUUAUCUAAUAACAGUUGUAUUUCUGUGCUUGAUUUGUAGUGAUUAUGACGUUCUCUGUUUACUUCUAUAAUUGUCACUAAAUAUAUUUUGUAAUUUGGCUACAGCAUUAAUGUUCUAUCUGCAAUAAAAUAUCAAUUCAUUCAUUCAUUCAAGAUCGUUAUAAUCUUAACGGAAUAUAACCGAUAACAAAUAAUUUUGUUUCAA